CAUCACUAUUGUAGCAGUCAUACAACAAAACUUUAUUAACUUUCGGACUUUUUACAUAAGAAUUUAUCAAACCGGAUAAUUUGCUCCUUUUUAGGGCGUCACAGUCCAUAACAUGGGCCAAGCGGAACCAUUGGGGGAAAAAAGAGAUGUCAAGCAAGAAUACUUCAGACCAAGUUAGAUUUAAAUUCAUCAAGACUGCUAAGAUGUAACUGUAUAUAUAAAACCUUCAGCAGUGAUAGAACCAUUCCUGUGAGCUUGAUGGUCAAAAGAUAACGGAGGAAGCUGUGGCUGCUACUGGCAAACCAUUUAAAUCAGUGACAGAACUAUUCCUGCGGGCAUGACGGUCAAAAGAUUACGCUUAAUUAUGAGGAAGCUGCUGGCAAAUCAA